CAUUAAAUUAGGUACGUUAUUGAAACCCAAGUAUGGACAAAAAGAUAGAUUUGCCUAUCUAUUAGUAGCAAGGAUUAUGGAUAGAUAGGAUAUUGAAAGCGGCCGUAAGUAGGUACAUCAAUAC